UUUCAAAUGAUGAUAACGUAUCGAUUUGAACGGAUUAGUUUUAAGAUUCUGUUUUAGAAACUUUUAACUAUUUUCAAGGACGACAAUCGAGGCAUUUGUCUGAUUAAAUC